rnacentral:rRNA from 1 species
AUUGAACGCUGGCGGCAUGCCUUACACAUGCAAGUCGAACGUUAACAGGUCUUCGGAUGCUGACGAGUGGCGAACGGGUGAGUAAUGCAUCGGAACGUGCCCAGUAGUGGGGGAUAGCCCGGCGAAAGCCGGAUUAAUACCGCAUACGACCUGAGGGUGAAAGGGGGGGAUCGCAAGACCUAUCGCUAUUGGAGCGGCCGAUGUCAUAUUAGCUAGUUGGUGGGGUAAAGGCCUACCAAGGCAACGAUCUGUAGUUGGUCUGAGAGGACGACCAGCCACACUGGGACUGAGACACGGCGCAGACUCCUACGGGAGGCAGCAGUGGGGAAUUUUGGACAAUGGGCGCAAGCCUGAUCCAGCAAUGCCGCGUGCAGGAAGAAGGCCUUCGGGUUGUAAACUGCUUUUGUCAGGGAAGAAAUCUUCUGGGUUAAUACCUCGGGAGGAUGACGGUACCUGAAGAAUAAGCACCGGCUAACUACGUGCCAGCCGCCGCCGUAACAC